GUCGACAGCGGGGAGGGGCACAGCGUGAGGUGAAGCAACAGCCUGUUUUUCCCACACGGGUCUUCCCUGGUUUUUGCAGAGGUACUGGGUAAUUUAUCCCUCACCGGGUUCCUAUCCCUCCAAGCGGGUCACGACAUAAGCUCUCCCAGGGCUUUAGACCCCUGCUCCGUGGCUUUGUUGGCUUGGCUGAGCUUAUGGCUUGUCUUUGUGACAGGUGUGAUGGUGUCAACCGUCACCGCCAUAGGGACGUGCCUGUGGGACCCAUGCACUCGGGGUGCCAGAGGAGAGGCGGGCCCCGGCAGGUCACCUGACACACCCUUCCUCGGCCGCUUCUCCCGGUCUCCUUCUCUGGGCUCUGGGACGUCUAGCGUCUCUACGCGCAGCGCAUGUACCUGGCAUCCUAAAUGUGGCAGCAGGUAUGCUCUCGAAGGAGGGCCCGCCACCUUGGGACUGCAGCCUACAUACCAAGGUGGUGCAGCAUCUGUGGGACAAAUUCAGGAGGGUGCAGGUGGAGCUGUUUGCCUCCUUGGACGAUGCACACUGCCACCUGUAGUACUCCAUGUCGGAGCCACCAGGGCCUCUGAGCUUGGAUGCUCUGGCUCACGAUUGGCCAGGGCUGGAGCUUACGCAUUCCCCCCUUUUCCCCUGAUCCAGGCGGUGCUGGACAGGACCAGGAUGGCAGAGCAUCGUCUGCUUCUGGUGGCCCCAUACUGGCCCAGACAACCCUGGUUCAGCCUUCUCCUGUCCCUGUUGUCUGGGACACCUUGGCAACUUCCCCUGAGACCUGCUGUCUCAGGUCGGGGGAACUGUGGCAUCCGAGGCCGCACCGCCUCAGUCUGUGGGCUUGGCCACUGAACGGCACCUUUGCGGUUGGUUCAGCGGUCCUGGGUGUCGUCUCCCCUUCGGGGACUGUGCGGGACCCCCCUUCCACAUUGACGGCCCCAGCGUCUCGGUGCCGCGCUGGGACUUUGCCGCUGGCUGGCCAGGUCCCUCUAGCACCGACUAAUCUGGUACGGAUAUACCAAUAUUUUGGAGUGAUCCAAUAUAGUGAAACAUAACGAAGGUUACAGGAGUAACCACGGCUAUGUGAGCUAUAAGGAUCACUCCAAUCCUUUACGGUACUAGAGGUGCCUCAAAAAUUAUGUCGAGAACAUGUGUUGCGGCCAUGGGGUCUAUAUAUAGGGGCGGACCUUAGCCGUGACACAGGUGUACACGGGAGUAAAUCUGUAAAUCUUCACCUCGGAUGUAUCCCUCCGCCGCAGAGUGAUAUCAAUAUAUUGGAGUGAUCCAUAUAGCUCACAUAACCGUGGUUACAUACGUAACCUUCGGUGUAUAUGCUCCUAAAAACCAAUGAGGAGAUGGGAGAGGCCGGACUUGCAGCGCGUUGAGCGUCACAAAUAGAACAAAUGUAUAUUUUAGCGCUUGGCUACACAGAUACUCGCUGACGCCUGUGAGCAAUGUGGGUGCAAUGAUUGAAUAACAUGUAUGUGUACAUUUAUUUUGCAACGCUCGUACAUGAGCGGUGUGGUCAGCAUGUUAAGCUUCGCGGAGCAGAGCUGUUGUCAAGGAAGUGAGUUUGUAUUGAUACAGGACAUCCCGCCCCCACCUACCAUCAACCAAUCAUGUCAAUGUGGAGCUAUACUGAGCCCACAGCAUUGUUAAAACAGUUUUGGGAGGCGGUGGGCACACAGGACAUUGGUACAGAGCUCAAUUUGGCCUCCGUGUGCCUCUGGAGGCUCUGCAAUUGUGUCACACCCUCCUUGCGGAGUCUCCGACCACGUUUUCAUUUUCGGAUCAAGCAUAAAUUGGCUCUUAUGCUUACGCACAGGUUUUCGGAGCACGCUAGAUAGCUAAUUAGCACAUGUGGUCACUGCUUGUCUUCUGUCUUUUUACCGUAAACAAGAGCUGUAACAUGGAGAUAUGAUCGUGUGGGAAAACUAACCCUAUCAAGUUGUUACUCCUCCCUACACUAUCUACAUGGGGAAAGACAAAUAUGAAAAUGAAGAUCUCAUCAAAUAUGGAUGGCCAGAAGACAUUUGGUGAGAAACUCAUAUCUAUUUCUUCUUGUAACUCAAACCAUGAGAUGCAUUGGGAUUUGACCAUUUGAUGAGUCUGACCGUUGGUCAAUGCCUAAGGGACUGACAAUUGAGGAUAUUCCCAAGGAAGGCUUGAUUGUGUACAGCUUGUGAAAAACAGUAUCCAAGAUGUGAAAUGAACAACAUCAAUGUUGUCUACACACCAUGGGCCAACCUAAAGAAAACAGGGGAUAUGGAUGUAGGCCAAAUAGGUUUCCAUCGGCAUGAGGUGAAGAUUGUGGCAGUAGAGAAGAUGAAUGAGGUUGUGAACAGGUUGGAGAAAACAAAGGACGAGCGAUACCCUGAUCUGGCAGCAGAGAAAGUCUCGCGACACGGAAGAGAGAAACGAGAAGGCCCAGAUACAAGAUCUGAAAAAGAAAGAUGACAUAAGAGCUGGAUGAGCUCAAGAGUUAAUCUUCGCAGAUGACGAGUGACAAUAUGACAACAAAUGAGGAUGGAAAUGAUUCGGAUGACUUCAUGUAAAAGGACAACAUGGGACAUCCUCCACCUGCAAGAAAACAUUGUUGUGUUGGGCCCUCAGUUAUACCGGACAGUGCUAUGACAUUGUAUAUAGAUCAACUUGCUACUGUAUUUUUGCAAAAUGUCAGGACUCUGAACAGCCUGGUUUCCCGACGCUUCUUGAAUUUCAAAGGAUAACAUUCCAACAGCGUUAAUCUCUUGCACUGUACAUCCUCUGCUUGACUGCCAAGAGGGUAACAACAACUCCUGAUUCCUCAGACAACGAUUUAGUCUUUAAGGACGGCUAUUCCUUAAAGGCUCUAUGAUCCAGUUCUGUAUUGUUGCAUGUUGACCUAAUGAUAUGAAUGAAUAUGAUCUCCUGACCAGUAUGUCUAUGUGAAAUUAAAUGAGUAUGUGUUACUCACGCCUCUAGGAAGCGGGAACGCAACACCCUGCUACAACUCAACUCUGUGGUGUGAAAGAGGUAUGGGACCGUAGGUGAGUAAGGAUGACGAAAGGCAGAGAAUUACCGUUUACAAGGAAUUUAUUCCGUUACACGGUCAUUUGGGGGAAAGGGGGCUGGACGGAACCAAAGUAAAUAUCAAAGCCCCCUCCUACCUUACCUGCCCACCACCACCACCUGGUGCACUAACCAAAAUACAGAUGGUGGUCCGCCCAGGUCUUACCUAGUGUGCAUAGACAGUGAAUACUACGGGUUAUGUAUGCCCGCAGGCCUCUUGCCUAAGCACUUGGCAGGUGCCUUUCCCCCCGGGAACCAAUGAAACACAAUACAAACUAUUUAAAAAACAAAACACAGGAUAUCAAAUAAGCUCUUUCUGACUGAGCAACAAACUAACACAGAACAUACAAGGCUGCUCCCAGCAACAACUAACAUAGGCAGUUUUGGUAUGUACUGUCUCACUCUCAUCAAUCAUCUAACAGUACAUACCAAAACUGUUAGCAACAACCAACAUGCUAUAGCCAUCAGCCUCCUCUCAGCAAUCAUCUCUCUUCUGAGCAACAGCACACUGGCUUAUAUUGCUUCAGAAGGAGUCUGUAAUUGAAGACAGCUGUGUUCUGACGAUGGGGCGGGGUUAACUCUCCAAUCGUCAAUGGGGGCUGACCAAUCAGCUUCUUGGGGAGAAUUUCAGGAAGCCAUUUCCUGAAACACACACUCACAAACUACAAGACAGAAACUGGGGAACGUAACAGUAUGUACAUUUUUUAUUAUAAUUUACCUGGCUGAUGCUGCAGACCUUGUCCUGGCCAGAGGCUGGAGCAUGUGAAUUGUGUCCUUGUGAAACCAUGCAUAAGGUUUGUCUUGGAUGUUGCUUUGAAAUAAUUGAAAGACUGCUGACAUUGUGAAUAAAAAUCACCUUGUUUAUCAACGCAAAGUUACAUUUUAAACAAAAACUGAACUGCCCAUAAGGUAUGUUAAUUGCCCAGUUCAUUAUUGAGACAAUAUGUUGACAUAGCUUUGCUAAUGAAGUGGUGUGUGUUCUGAAUGGUUUGAGUUGCUUGAAAGCUGAGAGAAUGGGUAUCACCAGCUUUCUCUUUCCUGGGUGAUCAGAGCUGGGAUUGAAUUGCCACAUGCUGGUUUUUCAGUAUAAAGCGUGACAUCUCUAUUUCUCAAUGCGUGUGUGGAUGCAGCUGUGGGUGACCUCUGGUCCACAUCACACAGACUGAAACGCAUGGAGCCGGUUGAGGCACGAGGAUUGUGUCCGAAUUAAUUAUUCUGGACGACUUGAAUUUCAUUUGACAUCUGCGUAAACAAUUUCACUCCAAACAAACUCUAAAAGCAGAAUAAAAGGCCUCUGUUUCAAUCUGCAUGUGAUUUGCUUGCCACUACAUGAAUAAGACUGGGUUAUUCUCAGUGACAGGAUGUCAUAUGUAACUAUAGGCCCCGGUCUGUGUUUAUCAACCAACUGUUGACUAUGCUUAUGUCACAUGCCAGUAUAAUUUCAAGGACUGGAACAUGGUGUACAAAUGUCAUGUUUUCCAUGAAGGUUGUUUCAUGGAUGAGGCAUUUAGAUAUUUUCAAGUUAUGAACUGUUGAAUAAAGGCAUGCAGUUGAAGUUA